rnacentral:rRNA from 1 species
GUGGGGAAUUUUGGACAAUGGGCGCAAGCCUGAUCCAGCAAUGCCGCGUGCAGGAAGAAGGCCUUCGGGUUGUAAACUGCUUUUGUACGGAACGAAACGGUCCUGGCUAAUAUCCGGGGCUAAUGACGGUACCGUAAGAAUAAGCACCGGCUAACUAAGUGCCAGCAGCCGCGGUAAUACGUAGGGUGCGAGCGUUAAUCGGAAUUACUGGGCGUAAAGCGUGCGCAGGCGGUGCUGUAAGACAGGCGUGAAAUCCCCGGGCUCAACCUGGGAAUUGCGCUUGUGACUGCAGUGCUGGAGUGCGGCAGAGGGGGAUGGAAUUCCGCGUGUAGCAGUGAAAUGCGUAGAUAUGCGGAGGAACACCGAUGGCGAAGGCAAUCCCCUGGGCCUGCACUGACGCUCAUGCACGAAAGCGUGGGGAGCAAACAGGAUUAGAAACCCGUGUAGUCC